rnacentral:tRNA from 1 species
GGCUUCGUAGUUCAAUGGAUAGAACAACCCUCUCCUAAAGGGUAAAUAGGGGUUCGAUUCCCCUCGGGGCUACUA